GUAGGGAAUAUUGGGCAAUGGAGGCAACUCUGACCCAGCCAUGCCGCGUGCAGGAAGACGGUCCUCUGGAUUGUAAACUGCUUUUGAAUGGGAAGAAACGUAGCUUUGCGAAGCUAUUUGACGGUACUAUUAGAAUAAGCACCGGCUAACUCCGUGCCAGCAGCCGCGGUAAUACGGAGGGUGCAAGCGUUAUCCGGAUUUAUUGGGUUUAAAGGGUGCGUAGGCGGCUUUAUAAGUCUGGGGUUAAAGGCGGCAGCUUAACUGUACGCAUGCCCUGGAAACUGUGAAGCUUGAGUGACUUGGAGGUAGCUAGAAUUCCCUGUGUAGCGGUGAAAUGCAUAGAUACGGGGAGGAAUACCGAUUGCGAAGGCAUGUUACUACGAGUAAACUGACGCUGAUGCACGAAAGCGUGGGGAUCAAACAGGAUUAGAAACCCCGGUAGUCC
rnacentral:rRNA from 1 species